rnacentral:tRNA from 1 species
GGGCCCGUAGUCCAGUUUGGUUAGGACGUCGCCCUCACACGGCGGAGGUCCGGGGUUCAAGUCCCCGCGGGCCCA